CCUUGCGUGCGUGACUGUAUAUAUCCUAUACUCCCUCUCCUCCCCGCAGCAUGGCUGCAGGUUUCCUCCGUGCACAUCCCGGUCUUAUCACGCCGACGACAACAGGCAAGCUGCGUGAUGGAGACUGCAGGGCGGCCGUGAUUGGAACAGACAAGGUCAAGUGUGGCACUCCCAGUUUAAAAGAGAGCGGCGUGCUUUUUUUUUUCUCCCUCACCGUAACUAUGACGCCGACUCUAUCUGACAUCUGUUGAUGGAUCGCUGUGGCUGUGCUGCCGGGCGAGAAGCAGGCGACACCGGGUCCGUGGCGAAUAAGUGUUCAAUCAGAGAAAAUGAAGCGGACUUGUUUGAGCGUGGAGUGUUUUUAGGUGAGAAAACAUGUUUACCAGUGAAGUGGAACCAGGAGAGCGUUUUCCACCGGAGAUCAUAACUUUGUAAACAUGUUUACCCAGCAGAACUGUUUGUGCUGGACUGAUAAGGGUUUGUCCUGGAACGUUAUGGAAGGCAUCAGGGACCCCGGGCGCCUUGGCAAGUUGGCAUCAGGGGCCCCUGAGAGUGGCGGUUUUUUUUUUCACAAUGCUAAGGGUGAUGUGAAAUUCUCACAAACAGCCACUUCAUGCUUUAGAUAAGAGUUCACAUUAGGUACGCAGGGAUCUAAUAUCUGACUGUCAGGAUGUUUAGUAUUCUGGGAAGUUCGUUGCCGGGGUGACGCACAGGCUUUAAAAAUUUGCAUUAUUCAUCAGAACUCUGCAAGCUUGCUGUGAGAAACCCCCAUGGUUUCCUUUUUUAUUGGAGGUGGGGGUGAGCCCAUGGGAAAGACUUCCUUAGGAGUUUCUUUUAGGAGGAACUUUUUUGCUGCAACUUCUAAAAAAUAAAGUGCUGUCUCCUCGAAACUCUCUUCACAUGGAGGCUCUUGUCUUUAACCGUGAAUCAGAGUGACAGAGGAAAGAUCAGAGAGACAUUACUGAAAGGUCGAGGAGUUCUUAGACCUCCACGCCUGAUCUGAACGUCUUUUUAAUCGAUAUUUAUGACGACAAUUAAGCACAAUGAGUAAAUAAGAGUUUGGCAAAGUCUCAUUUUUCUUCCGAUUCCUGAUCACAAGAAUGCAGCAGGCUGAUAUUUUCAUCACCGUGACUCGGUGUUUCAGCCCAAAUUGUAAAUAAUUAACACCAUCCCUUUAACCUCCAUAGUAUUUGUUGGCAGCUGCUGAAGAAACUCGAUGUUUCACUGCCAAAGAAACAAAGAGGCACAUUUGAAUUACCCUGUUAAAGACUUAAUGUAAAGUAAACACUGGGGGGUUUGAUUGUUUGUUCAAAAUAAUGUAAUAUUUUUAAAGAUCUGGCAGUCUGACAUUGUCUCUAUGAAUGUGAAAAAAACUGGUGGAAAACUAAGACAAAUAACCUCAUUACCGGUCUGGAGUAACGCCAGGAUCCUCCGCUGGUUUAAAGGAGUAUUACGCAGGGAUUUGCUCUUUUUGUUUGUUUUGUUUUGAUGCUCUCUGAAUCUACAGCCAAUUGGUGAUUAUGCACAUUAAUAUCCAGACUCUAAAGACCAGCCAGGGGUGUGCACUUAGAUUUUACAGACAUUAAUGUGGCCUACCUAGAUGUGUCAGCUACCUGUGUAAUGGGCGCUUAAAGGGAUAUUGUGGACCGCUUGCAUCUCUAGUUAUACCAACUUUAGUAACGACCGCAGGAUAGCAAUACACAGCGGUCUGAGGAGCCAUAAACAAACCUCAACCAAAACGCCACUCUAUAGCCAUAAAUAAUGCUCAGAACAGCACCUAACUUCAUCAACAGGACAUAUAGGGUCACAGCCACAGUACUAGACACCAAACAUUUUUUCAACUUUGACUAAUUUCUUUAACAAAAAGACUUAACACAACUCACCUACUCUCCUCCAGCAGCCACUUGUUUGUACAGAGACCUCAGGCCAGUCCAUUAAGGACUACAGCGGGGUGAUGCAGCUCAAGGAAGAACAUUUAUGGUCAUUUCUUUAUCAUUUCCUUGAAGUAAUAAUCACCAUAUUAAUCAUUUUGCUCUGCAGACGCGGUAGUUCUUCUGCCUUUGCGUCUCAGUCUGAUUGUAUUACCAUGAAGAAAUGAUCAUAAAUGUUCUUCCUUGAGCUGCGAGACUCCGGCGCAGUCUGUAAUGGUAUAACUAGAGAAGCAAGCAGUCAGCAACAUUCAUCACUUGAGGGGGUGUCUAACUCUGUGUUACAGUGUGUUUGACCCUAAAUUAAUUUUACGUCGGAAUAUCCCUUUAAGCAUCCCUAUACCAGCCCUGAUUCUGGUUUUACAAAAACAAGUCAGAUGGUCCCUUCCUUUUCUCCAGAGGAGGACUCAGUGUCCAUGAUUUCCAAAAGAAAGGGCAUCAGCAUUUCACGUCCUCACACACAAAGGUUUUUGGACGUGAUUUUGAGCCUAUGUGGUGACUUCCACUACAGAGUCUUGUUUGCUUGAGGGUUUGGAGAUCACAUCAAUCCAGUGUGAGGCCUCAUCCUCUCUGUUUUUGCCCAGAUUUUCACAAAUCAUGCUUUCGCAGUCUCUCACAGAGGGGGGUUAAAUCUCAUCACAGAACUUUUUCAGUGUUUUGUUGUCCCAGUUCCAACUUUUAUAAAACAUAUAAAUAUAUUUCAGAGUGGAUGAUCAUAAUUAUAGUAGGGGAAUAUGUCAGCCUGUGCUGCAGUGUGUCUAAAAGUUUUUAAACUAAGGGGCUUUGUGGCCCAGAGGAAUAAACUGUUUCCAUGCCUGAACAGGCAGGAGUAAUUUCUUGGUGAUUCUUUGCAGGGAUAAAAAAAAAAAAGAUAAUAACUAAAGGCUUGUCUCUGAAAAAGUUGCUGAUUUCAGCUUUGUAACAGUCUCCUAACAACACCAAUGACAGCCUUUGUGGUCUGAGACAACCUCAGGGUGAGAAACACGGUGGAGCAGUUGUUUAAAUCAAUGAACAUAGAAAACUGAAGGAACAACACUUACUGUACAUUAAACUACACUUGUGUUCCCCUUUUAGACUAACAACAGCGAUAACAUCAUGUCUGACUAUUGACUUCCACCUAACUGGCUCACAGUGUUGAUAUAUUCCAGUAAAAAUGUCAACACAAAGUAAUCGUUGAUGAGUAAAUUCUUCAUGAUAUAAAUGGUACACCAAGAGUCAUUAUAAAUUAUGGCAGAAAAAUAAAGCACGUUUAGCUUAUUUGUUGUACUUGAACUUUGAAGUGAUCCACUUGACAGUAUCAACUGUGGUCCAAAGCCAGUUUCAGUUUGAGACCCCCGAGGCUACCAUGACUAAUCUUUGCUUCUUGCUAGGUCUGGGCGAUUCAGCAAAAAAAAAAAAAAUCAGGAUAUAUUUUGUCAUAUCGUCUAAUCUCGAUAAUUAUCAAGAUUUUUUUGUAUUUUUUUUUUUUUCAAACUGUCAGUUUUAAAGCAUAUUUACUAAAUUUAGUUUGAAUAUCUUUUCUUCUCAACAAUGGCGUCUUCGGAGGAUGACUCAAAGUCAUGGCUGACAUCUGUUUUGCUGCCCUCAGCUCCGCGUUUGGCCCCACAUUUGAUCAUUCGGUUUACUUUAGGGCUGAACUAACGACUAUUUUAAUAGUCAACUAGUCACCGACUACUUAAACGAUUAGUCGACUAAUCGGAUAGUUAUGAAGUUUUUGCAUUUAGUUAUUUUUUUUUUACCUGUGUAGGAUAAAGUGCUCCCAAACUUUGGAGGUUUUUAAGCGCGUACUUGUAGCUGCUGUACGGGAUGCCAGCGCCGCCAUGGUUGAAUAUCCUACCACUUGGCGGAGACGCUAUUGUACAUGUGUGACUCUAGGCAGAGAUCGUAAUGAAAUAAGAUGCCUCACUCCACUGGAAAAAACACAUCUGGCGACAAUAGUCGACAAUAGAAUGUCAACAACGUCGACUAAUUGUUGCAGCCCUAGUUCACCUCCCCUGUUAACUUCUCUGGCAACUUCCAGAAGUGAGCAGGAAAAUCUUGACUCUGAUUGGCAGUUGUCACGCACAUUUCCGCCAUGUUUGACGGAGUACAUAUGCUCACAGCUGAUCACCAUGAUCAAACUGAAAUUUAUCACGAUCAUAUAAUAUCCCAGUCCUACUCCAAACCCAGUCCGAGAAAUGUUUUUCCCAGAGUUGUGGUCCUUAACCUGUGGCCCCCGGCUCUGCAGACUCAUAAUCUAAGUAAACUCCUGUCGAACAUUGUCUCUCUCUUUGUUGUUCGGAGGAUGUGCAGUCGUCUCUGUCUCAGGUCAGAAUCUCUUCCAGCCUGAAUAAAAAUAAAAUCUUCUGCAGCAUUAAAUCUGUACAUUUCUGGAGGCUAAGAUUUGGCUCCCUCUUUUUGUCUCAUUCUCCUGGAUUGUGACUCAGAGGAACACGAUGCGCUGGAUACCACGGCGGAGCACAAUCUCCUUAUUGUCAUAUUGUAAACAGAUGGGAAAAGGGAAUGAAACAUGACAAGGCAUCAAUACCGGCACAAAACAGCCUAUUUUAGUCUUGGAUUCUGGUGUCUCUGCAUUGCAGCGGCGCCAUUGUGCCACGCAUGGGUAAGAAAAAUAAACAGGCAGGACCGAGGUUUGUCAUAAUGACUUCUCUCGGCAGAGAUUAAGAAAGCAAACACUUGAGGAUGGAGCUAUGUUAAGAAAAGCUCCUCCACUGAGGAUCGGAUAUGCUUGUGUUUUUAUUUUUUUAGACCACGAGGUAUUUAAAGUAAUUAUAACAGCAAGAUUAACAUAAUUAGCCCAGCGUGAAACUGCACGCUUUUCUUGUGAAUUUGUCCGUCACUAAUUAUCUCGGUAUGGUUCAACAGUUUGUUGGCUUCUUCUCAGUAUACAUCCGUGCCUUUGCAGUUAAUAUCUUUCUAUUUUACCAAUCCAACCUUUAUUUACCCAUCCCUGAGCUAAUGUGUCCUCAAAAGAUCGCCACCGACAGGCCAUUUACCUUCAUCAUUUAUUCACGAGAGCCCGCAUCAAAGUUUAGCAAAAGUGCCGAACUCUUUGGAGCCGAAAUCCUUGCAGAUAUUUUCCUGACCCUGGAUACUGCAGGGGUUUCUGUAGUGCACUUGACAUUGUUUUUAUUGCAGCCUCUCGAGCCUUUAGAUAGUAACAGAGAGUGCGUAGCCGGUUUCCAAACUCCCCUCUGUAGCCGUGGUGACAGCCGGCGAUGUUCCAGCAUGUCGGCGACUUCCUCGCUGAGUCGAGUCAAAGCUAUUUAUAAAGUGCUUUUAACAAGCAGGUUUGUCACAAAGUGCAUCUGAGAGGAAGGGGGAAAAAUGACAGAGGAUAAAAAUGACAAGUUAAAAAAAAAACAAGUGCAGCACAGAGAGGAUGGAGGGGGACGGCGGCGCAUGGUGGCAUCACCCGACAGCCGCCGUCGAACAUCCGUUUCUAUGUGGGAGAAAAUGACUGUUUGUCACGUUCCUCCUGGAAACCACAGCCGCUCAAACUCAACCUCUCCUUCACCUGCAGCUUCUGUGUUCUUCACACGUUUGAGGAUAAAAGCAAGUUUCAGAGAAAAGGAGCGUCACUAUUCUCCAUUCUCAUGAAAAGAGUCUUUAACAGGCGACGCUUUUGUCAGACGCCGCUUUAAAAGGUUUGAGAGACGAUUGGAUAUCGCUCAACCCAGAUCACAAAAACACCAGGAUGGUUUUUAAUCAUGAAGGCUUAUAUAUGAUCAAAAACAGUGAACACUAAAGAGGAAGAUUGCUCUUGGGAUAAUAUCAGCUUCCAUUACAUUUGAUGCCAAACGUGAUGUUUCACCUGUUUUUCUGACAACUCAAACAUGGAUGUGGUGUCCAUGGUUUCCAAAAGAACGCCAUCCAUCCAUCUUCUACCGCUUAUCCAGGGUUAGGUCAUGGAGGCAGCAGUCUGAGCAAGGAAGACCAGUCUUCCCAGUCCCGGGUGCUUAGUCCAGCCUUUACAGUGGGACUCCCCGGUCAGCUGAGAGACAUAGUCCCUCUACUAUGUCCUGGAUCCUCCUCAUGGUCUCCUUAUCAGCGAGGCAAAUGUCAAACUCUAAUUUGUUUGACUACACCUGGCUCAGUCCAUCUUACUUAAACCCUGAUGGUGGUUUUAAAAGGGGUGAAAAUCCACCACAGAGUCAUAUCUGUUAUUAAUGCCAAGGACCUGUUUUCACCAGAUUUUCUGAACCUUUCAAUCACAGUUAGGGCUGGGCGAUAUGGCCUCAAAUCAAUAUCACGAUAUAUUGAUCAGUUCACCUCAAUAAGGAUAAAUGGACGAUAACUACUCCACAAGCUGCUCAGCCCCUCCCACAUUAACUUCGUCUACUUCAGCCACUACAACUUUUGAACCGUCCUCCAUCUCCUCACCUGUCUUUCCCUCUUUGUUACGGACUGGAUGGGUGGAGUCACGUCUCUGACGUAGGACAGUGUCUUAAAGGGACAUGAGACCAUAGCCUACCUACACACAUCCAAAACCAACUUUUAUUUAUCUAUUUAUUUUUGUGACACCGAAUAUACCGAUAUGGGCAAAAUUAUUGUCGUAAAUUUCGGUAUCAGUAAAUUUUUGGUUUAUCACCCAGCCCUAAAAGUGGGUAUAAAAGGUCUCCCUCAACUACUGUCCUGGCAUGCAUACUACAAGGAUUUUGGUCGUGUUUUUUUGGUCAUUAUUGGCAUAAAUUUCAGUAUCGGUAAUUUUUCGUUUUGUCACCUAGCCCUACUUCUAAGAGACUCCGCCUCUCUGCAUUGAUCUUAAACAUUGGCCAACAGCAUCUGUGGCACUCAGAUGUUCGUCCUAGCCGACCGUUGCACUGCUAACAUGAACAAGCGAGCUCUCAGUGGAGAUUUAUGUAAGUGUGCAAAGUGAAAGUCAACACCAGAACC